UACGGAGGGUGCAAGCGUUAUCCGGAUUCACUGGGUUUAAAGGGUGCGUAGGCGGGCAGGUAAGUCAGUGGUGAAAUCUCAGAGCUUAACUCUGAAACUGCCAUUGAUACUAUUUGUCUUGAAUGUUCUGGAGGUGAGCGGAAUAUGUCAUGUAGCGGUGAAAUGCUUAGAUAUGACAUAGAACACCAAUUGCGUAGGCAGCUCACUACGGAAAUAUUGACGCUGAGGCACGAAAGCGUGAGGAUCAAACAGG
rnacentral:rRNA from 1 species